rnacentral:rRNA from 1 species
GGCCGCGGGAAUUCGAUUGGCGACGAUCGGUAGCUGGUCUGAGAGGACGAUCAGCCACACUGGGACUGAGACACGGCCCAGACUCCUACGGGAGGCAGCAGUGGGGAAUAUUGGACAAUGGGGGCAACCCUGAUCCAGCCAUGCCGCGUGAGUGAUGAAGGCCUUCGGGUUGUAAAGCUCUUUUGGCGGGGACGAUGAUGACGGUACCCGCAGAAUAAGCCCCGGCUAACUUCGUG